rnacentral:lncRNA from 1 species
AAAACACAAUCUCAUCAAAUGUUAGAAAAUAAAUCAUCAAAUAAUCUAGAAAUUUCAAAUCUUCUAGGGUUGAUUCCUCUUACCUACAAUAGCUUUGCUUGCACAAGAAGCUGUAUAGCAGGCCUGCAUAUCAAGGUCAAAUAAUAAAGCAGCACACAUCACUAACAUGUUUUGGUAACUUGAUUCAUUAGCUUAACAUGAAUAAUUGAACAUAAGGACUCAUUCUAUAUACUAAACGAUUAAAUGCAUGCUUUGGGUUUGUAUAACAUCUAAGCUGAAAGACAUACCGAGAAAGAUUGUUUCUGGAAAAUAUGUAAGCUGCAUUUACAGAUGAUGCAGUACCAAUUUUAUAAGAACCUGAAAUGGAUGAACACGUGGACUUUCCAAUUAGAAGCAGACAAUGUAGGAAAAGCUAAGUAGGAAUUAAUCCUUAAAGGAAGAAAACAAUAUAUAUCAUUCAGCCUAUCAGUUGCAUCUGAACUAUACAGAAAAUGACUAAACAACGGAGGGGGAAAUUAAAAGUUAAAGUUUCGUAGCUUGAAUUUUGUCACCCUAAAAUAAGUGUGUUUAGGAUAUGAAGUUCAAAAUAAAAGCAUCAAACCAUAUACCACAUUUCAGAAAAUGCAAAUUAAAUGGUGACUACCAUACUUGAUGAUCUAUAACUCUCGCACUUCUGGUGCAGAAUCCUCCUUCUGUGGCCAAUGCAUGUCCAUAGCAGCAGUUAUAAGAUCUAAUUUCUCAACCUGCAGCACACUACAACAAAUCACAAAUAGCGGUAGAAAUUUGAAUGUACGAACAAUAGAUCUGGUACAAGUGUAUGCACCCACACCCAAACAAAAAUUGCAGUGCAUACUGGAAUUCCAUAGUGAGGCCUCUUCCAGAACUUCCAAAAAUAAUCCAACAA